rnacentral:rRNA from 1 species
AAUAGAUACCCAGGUAGUCCACGCCGUAAACGAUGAGUGCUAAGUGUUAGAGGGUUUCCGCCCUUUAGUGCUGCAGCUAACGCAUUAAAGCACUCCGCCGUGGGGAGUACGGCCGCAAGGCUGAAACUCAAAGGAAUUGACGGGGGCCCGCACAAGCGGUGGAGCAUGUGGUUUAAUUCGAAGCAACGCGAAGAACCUUACCAGGUCUUGACAUCCUCUGCCAACCCUAGAGAUAGGGCGUUCCCCUUCGGGGGACAGAGUGACAGGUGGUGCAUGGUUGUCGUCAGCUCGUGUCGUGAGAUGUUGGGUUAAGUCCCGCAACGAGCGCAACCCUUGAUCUUAGUUGCCAGCAUUCAGUUGGGCACUCUAAGGUGACUGCCGGUGACAAACCGGAGGAAGGUGGGGAUGACGUCAAAUCAUCAUGCCCCUUAUGACCUGGGCUACACACGUGCUACAAUGGAUGGUACAAAGAGCUGCGAACCCGCGAGGGUAAGCGAAUCUCAUAAAGCCAUUCUCAGUUCGGAUUGU